rnacentral:misc_RNA from 1 species
GGUCGGGCGGUGACGAUUUCCGACGAGGCGUUCCGCGCACUGGAGCGAUACCGGUGGCCCGGCAACGUCCGCGAGCUGCAGAACGUGGUGGAGCAGAUCGUGUGGCUCGCGCCGGCCGAUCGGAUCGAGGUCGAGCAUUUACCUCCUGUCAUUCGUACUGCCGGCCAGGCCGUUCUCCCAAUGCGCGAACGCCGCACGCAGGUCGCGGACGAGCUCUACAAGGCGCUCGUCCUGACUGGCUAUUCAUUCUGGGA